UCCCAUUUCUAUUUCCGGGAACAACUUUAUGUACUUUUUAAUUCCUGCUAAGAUUUGGCUGACAUUUUUCCCCCGACUCCCAUGUGGAAGGCCAUAAUAAAGCGCCAGCUACGGUGGUCCUGAAUAACCCCAACAGCAACCUUAAGGUCCAUUGUUCCCACUUACCUAGUUACCUACGUACUUACCUAGUUACAUACCAAUGGCUAGCGCACUCAACUCACACACUGAGGUCCACGGAUCGAUCCCCCGAUACGGCUGAAAAACAUUACGACGUGUUUCCAUGUGACACCUGCCCCAGUUCACCCAUCAGUAAAAUAGAAUAAGAAGGUGUAUGUUUUAUAGUAAAUUUAAUUCCUGAGUUAAGAGCCAUGAUUACUGCACUGGGAAGAGGAGGAAGAUUUUUUCCCCUGUGUUUGUCUCGGGUCAGCCUCAGGACCAUGUGUACAUCUGGCAAGACUGAGAGCACAUCUCAAGAAGGUACUGUUAUAGUUGAACAUCUGCCAAAAAUAACAAUGAUUGGCAUAAACAGGCCAGAAAAAAGAAACUGUGUCAAUUCUUCAACAGCAGCAGCUCUUCUGCAAGGCAUGUAAAUAAUACAGUGUUUAUAAAAACCGUGAGGCCUGGUCACAGA